rnacentral:rRNA from 1 species
CACGGAGUUAGCCGGUGCUUCCUUUAUAGGUACAGUCAAAAUUCGUCCCUAUUGACAGAACUUUACACCCCGAAGGGCUUAACAUUCACGCGGUGUUGCUGCGUCAGGCUUUCGCCCAUUGCGCAAAAUUCCCUACUGCUGCCUCCCGUAGGAGUAUGGGCCGUGUCUCAGUCCCAUUGUGGCUGAUCAUCCUCUCAAACCAGCUACUGAUCGUUGCCUUGGUAGUCCAUUACACCACCAACUAGCUAAUCAGGCACAGGCUCAUCUUAGGGCGCCGGAACUUUCAAGAUUGGUAUUUCAACCAAGCUCAUAUGGGGUAUUAGCAGAAGUUUCCCUCUGUUGUCCCCCACCCUAAGGCAGAUUUCCUAUGUUGUACUCACCCGUCCGCCACUUUCCACAGGAGCAAGCUACCUGCUUCUCGUUCGACUUGCAUGUAUGAGGCACACCGCCAGCGUUCGUCCUGACGCCAGGAUACGAAACUC